UACGGAGGGUGCAAGCGUUGUCCGGAUUUAUUGGGUUUAAAGGGUGCGUAGGCGGCGUAAUAAGUCAGUGGUGAAAGCCGGCAGCUCAACUGUCGAGGUGCCAUUGAAACUGUUAUGCUUGAGUACAGACGAGGUAGGCGGAAUUUAUGAUGUAGCGGUGAAAUGCAUAGAUAUCAUAAAGAACACCGAUAGCGAAGGCAGCUUACUAGGCUGUAACUGACGCUGAGGCACGAAAGCGUGGGGAGCGAACAGGAUUAGAUACCCCCGUA
rnacentral:rRNA from 1 species